CCUACGGGAGGCAGCAGUGGGGAAUAUUGCACAAUGGGGGAAACCCUGAUGCAGCGACGCCGCGUGAGUGAAGAAGCGUUUCGGCGCGUAAAGCUCUUUCAGCGGGGAAGAAACACCGGUCGCGAGAACCGCGGACGGUACCCGACCAAAAAGCCCCUGCUAACUACGUGCCAGCAGCCGCGGUGAUACGUAGGGGGCAAGCGUUAUCCGGAUUUACUGGGUGGAAAGGGGGCGUAGGCGGCGGGACAAGUCUGGAGUGAAAGGCCGGGGCGCAACCCCGGGACUGCUCUGGAUACUGCCUGGCUGGAGUGCAGGAGAGGUAGGUGGAAUGUCUGGUGUAGCGGUGAAAUGCGUAGAUAUUAGGAGGAACACCAGUGGCGAAGGCGGCUUACUGGACUGUAACUGACGUUGAGGCUCGAAAGCGUGGGGAGCAAACAGGAUUAGAUACCCUGGUAGUC
rnacentral:rRNA from 1 species